UACAGAGGGUGCAAGCGUUAAUCGGAAUUACUGGGCGUAAAGCGUGCGUAGUCGGUUAUUUAAGUCGGGCGUGAAAGCCCCGGGCUCAACCUGGGAAUUGCGUUCGAUACUGGAUAGCUAGAGUUCGGCAGAGGGAAGCGGAAUUUCGGGUGUAGCGGUGAAAUGCGUAGAUAUCGGGAGGAACACCAGUGGCGAAGGCGACUACCUGGCCUGUUCUUGACGCUGAGGCGCGAAAGCUAGGGGAGCAAACGGG
rnacentral:rRNA from 1 species